AACGGCCGUACCAUGCUGAAUAUACCGGUUCUCGUUAGAUCACCGAAGUCAAGCAUCAUUGGGCGCGGUCAGUACUUGGGUGGGUGACCACCUGGGAACACCGCGUGCAGU